ensembl:lncRNA
GGGGUCAGUAUGGGGGUCAGUAUGGGUCAGUGUGGGGUGAUGGGGUUGGGGUGAGCAGAGGGGAGAGAGAGAGUGGAAGGGAUGAUGUGGGGCUGCAAUGGGUCCCUGGAGAGCCUCGGAGGGGGGUCAGAGGUCAGAGGUCACGUGCCAUGGGGUCAGUGUGGGGUCUUAGGGUCAGUAUGGGGUCGGUAUGGGGUCAUUGUGGGGUGAUGGGGUUGGAGAGAGGUCAUGGAGAGAGAAGAGGGGAGAGAGAGUGUGGAGGGGAUGAUGUGGGGCUGCAAUGGGUCCCUGGAGAGCCUUGGAGGGGGGUCAGAGGUCAGAGGUCAUGUGCUGUGGGGUUGGUAUGGGGUCUUAGGGUCAGUAUGGGGUCGGUAUGGGGUCGGUAUGGGGUGCUGGGGUCAGUGUGGGGUGGUUAUGGGGCAGUGCAGAACAUGGCCGUGGGCAAGCAGAACCUCAAGGUCAUGAUCAGCAACUCCAACCGCUCCCAGCAGGACUUCGGUACGGGGGGCCGGGGGUCAGAGGUCACAGGUCGGGGGUCAGGGGGUCACGGAGUCAAUGGUUGGGUCAGUGUGGGGUUGGGGUGAGAAGAGGGGAGAGCGGAGGGGAGAGAGGGGAAAGAGAGUGUGGAGGGGAUGAUGUGGGGCUGCAAUGGGUCCCUGGAGAGCCUCGGAGGGGGGUCAGAGGUCAGAGGUCACGUGCCAUGGGGUCAGUAUGGGGUCAGUAUGGGGUCUUAGGGUCAGUAUGGGGUCGGUAUGGGGUCAUUAUGGGGUGCUGGGGUCAGUGUGGGGUGGUUAUGGGGCAGUGCAGAACAUGGCCGUGGGCAAGCAGAACCUCGAGGUCAUGAUCAGCAACUCCAACCGCUCCCAGCAGGACUUCGGUACGGGGGGCGGGGGGUCAGAGGUCACAGGUCGGGGGUCAGGGGUCAGUAUAGGGGGUGGUGGGGUCAGUGUGGGGUGAUGGGGUUGGGGUGAGAAGAGGGGAAAGAGAGUGUGGAGGGGAUGAUGUGGGGCUGCAAUGGGUCCCUGGAGAGCCUUGGAGGGGGGUCAGAGGUCAGAGGUCACGUGCCAUGGGGACAGUGUGGGGUCAGUAUGGGGUCUUAGGGUCAGUAUGGGGUCGGUAUGGGGUCGGUAUG